rnacentral:rRNA from 1 species
AACAAACGCUGGCGGCGUGCCUAAUACAUGCAAGUCGAGCGGAGCGAGGGUGCUUGCACCUUAGCUUAGCGGCGGACGGGUGAGUAAUGCUUAGGAAUCUGCCUAUUAGUGGGGGACAACAUUCCGAAAGGAAUGCUAAUACCGCAUACGCCCUACGGGGGAAAGCAGGGGAUCUUCGGACCUUGCGCUAAUAGAUGAGCCUAAGUCGGAUUAGCUAGUUGGUGGGGUAAAGGCUCACCAAGGCGACGAUCCGUAGCUGGUCUGAGAGGAUGAUCAGCCACACUGGAACUGAGACACGGUCCAGACGCCUACGGGAGGCAGCGGUGGGGAAUAUUGGACAAUGGGCGAAAGCCUGAUCCAGCCAUGCCGCGUGUGUGAAGAAGGUCUUCGGAUUGUAAAGCACUUUAAGUUGGGAGGAAGGGUUGUAAGCUAAUAUCUUGCAGCUUUGACGUUACCAACAGAAUAAGCACCGGCUAACUCUGUGCCAGCCGCCGCAGUAAUAC